GAGAGAGAGAGAGAGAGAGAUAAGAUGGCAUCUGGGUCCAAUAAAGAAUUAGUAGGUUGACCGAAUUUUUGUGGGUACGUUGCGAAAUUUUAAGAAUGGACCGGCCUAAAAUGACAAAAAAAAGUGAAAGAGAAUAAAAAAAGAAAUGGACGGUUGGCAUUAUUGUCGGCAACACCAUCAUUAUAUUAUUAAUCCCUCAACAAUUGACAUUGAAAGGCGCUAUAGCACCAAAGUUGAGUCUUUUCGCUAUGAUGGAAAAUCCAGGGUUAGAAAAGAACAAAUGACAGAAAAGUUGACACAUGAAGAAUCUUGGAUGCCGUUUUGCAUUAUGCGUAUGCUGCCCUGAUAAAUUGUGAAACUACCUGCACUGUAUAAGUCAAUUUCCUACACCUGUAUAAUGGGAAAGGCUCUGGCGGUGGUGACUUCACCAGAAACUCCUUCAAGCAACAAGCUCUAGAGUCAUCUGCAAGGCCAUGCUCCAGAUUUGUAAGGUCUUAAAUUUGAAUUCCAUCAAAGCUAAAUGACCUUUUAUAUAUAUAUAUAUAUAAUCAAUUGCAGAUCCUCCAGAAACAUGCUAUCCAUUGAACUCCAUGCGCACAAUACACUAUCUGAACUUCUCUGUUUAAUCUCCUCAUGUAUAUGUAUGCAUACAUGAAAUGAACGAAGUUGAGCUAGAGCAUAGGGUUGACCUAAAAUUCAACUAGUCAAUUCAUGCACUCCAUUAUGUUUCUCUUUAUGUUUUUUUUUUUCAUUUGUUGUACAAUCGGCAAAAGGUAAAACAUGGCCUUUUAUAAAUAUUCUCACAAUUAUCUUUUCUACCAAUUAACUACAAAAGCAUGUAAAAAAGGCAUCCCAUGAUUAAUAUCAAUAUUCUCUUAAGAACACUUAGAACCAACAAACAACGGAUAGAAAAUAGCCAUGGUGCAUCUUUUCUUACUUAACCAAGAAGAUUAGAAAACUUAUUCCAUGAGUAAGAAUUUUACAAGUCGAUUCGCUCUGCACCCCACAAACAUGUCUUCACCCAUAACCGCCACUUUCUUCCUACAUAUUCUUUAAUAGUUUCCCAAUGCCUCAUGCAUAAUUAACAAUCUCAUAGCAUAAUUCUAUAAAACCAUAAACACUUACCAAUACCAUUCUCACCUAUCUUGAUAGCCUUAUCAAUUCCACAAUCUGAAUUGCAGCGCAUUCUGGAACAUAUGGCUUCUGACAAGGCCAUUGUUGUGGAUCUGGAUGCUUGCACCAGCAACAAACAAGCUACUGUAGCAGAUAAAAAGCCCAACAUGAAAGGUGCAGGCAACUCUAAUUUUGAGAAAGCACUGGCACAGAGAGCACUUUUUGGGUCACACAAUCAUCGGGUGAAGGGCAGAAAAACUGUCAACAAUGGUGCAAGAUUGUCGCCAAGCAGGCUAAGCAAGGUUUCUUUGGCUGAUGAAUAGGUAGGCAGAGGUAUAGGUCUUGUAUUAUUUAGCAUGUAAAAAUAUCUGUUGUUGCUUGUAUUGACAGAAAGAAAUGCAGAACAUAAGAUCCAAUCUGGAUUUGUUAAAGUGAAAGUAUAGAAUCUAACAAGAUUCCAAAUCUGUAAAUAGCAUGUGCAGUAUUAUUACUAAAACCAUUUAACAUGCAAUUUGCAUUAAAAUAGCAACUACAUGAUGCAUGUUAGAAAAGUAGAAUUUUGAUUCUAAUUGUAGUUGCGGGGAGACCACAUUGAGUUUACUAUCAGAAAAAACAUGAAACAUCAAAUAUUCUCCAGGAUAAUCCAGGUGGCAAAUACAUACCUGUAAUCAAGUAACCCACAGACAUCACGAUUUCCUAAUUCACAGCAAGUCAAGAUUUAUGGGUCUAGUAAAGCAUAAUAAAACCACUGAGCCAAGAGUAAUAUUAGAAAACAAAAGCCAGAGAUGAGGCUAACAAAGGAAUCUCAUAUAACAUGGUGAGUUCUUGAUAAAGGAGAAUCUAACUGCAAUUAACUUUUUCCAUUUUUGCAUAAGUUCACUGUAUGCACAAAUUCAACCUGCCUAUCAAUGCCAUGAUCGUUUUUUUCUUUUAGAAGGGGGAGGACAAGGGGGAUUCAUUUGCAAGGUCAACUAAUCACGAAUUUGGCAUGUGGACAUGCUAUGUCUCAAAUGUUAAAAGAAACUGAAAAAAAAUUAAAAAAUGCAUGCCAUAAAUAUCUAGAUGUUUUUUCUCAGUGAAGAGUGCUUUAAAUUUUUGUAUAAUGAAAAUUGGAAGGACAAAAAAUGUAAAACUGGAAUGAACAAAGACUAUCUAAUGUAAUGCAAUCACUUCUUAUACCAACUACACCAUCAUUAUCCUGGUCUAUAUGUAUCCUAGUUCAUCACCAUUCAAAUGAUCACUUCCCAUAAUUGGACAAUCUGAUGCAUCAUGUCCAAACUGCCCACA
rnacentral:misc_RNA from 1 species